rnacentral:lncRNA from 1 species
GUUUGGCCAAUGAGACAGCAAGUAGACGGGACUAGGAGUCAAAGAGGAUUCUGGGAAAUGUAGUAGAGAAGUGAUGAUCCAGGCAGGAAGUGACACAGCAAGGAGACUCAUACUUAAGUGAAGGAGAAAGAGGAAGGCCCUCUUUUCCCCUCAGCUCCUGCUCCAGCGGCACGAUGUGAUCCACCAGCAAGGAGGGACGCCAAUAAGGCGUCCGAUAAGAUAAGUCUUAUAACAUAUAUAGAUUUAUGAUAGUUAAGACUGAGCUAACAGAUGAGAAUCCUAGUCAUUGGCCAAGCAGCUUUGUACCUAAUACAAGUUUCUGUGUAUUCAUUUGGGCCCAACUCGGGCAGGCGGCUGUCGUAAAGCUCACACAUGGCGGUGGGGCUCGGCGGCUUUUGGCAGAAAGAUUUAUCGUAACAAGGGCCUUGGACCAUGUGAUGGAAUAUCUCCACUCUCACUGUUUGCAGGCUUCAGAACUGGAGCAAGUUCCCAACCCACUCCACCUCUUUGCGUAUGUGCAGAAUGAACAUAUUUAUCUCCAGAGACUGGGAUAAUAUAAAUAAAGUCCUUGACCUUCAGAAGAUUCCCAUCUUCCACCAACAGGGCUGACCUUAUAAACAUUCUCAUCCGAAGCUUGCCUGAAGUUAGACAUACACUAUCACAGGACACCAGCAUGGACUACAAACACAACUCCAUGCUGUGGUGAAGACUAGAUUCUUGACUGUACCACAGAAAACAAUUUGGGGUCCUACCUGCCUGUGCAAAGCAGACUUGGGGCUUAUCAGGAAGAGAUUUUAGCAUAGAUCCAAGCAAGGCAGUUAAGAAAGAGAUGCUCAAAGAAACAAGAUAACACAACCCAAGCUUGCCAGUCUGAUCUACAGAGUAAGUUCCAGUACAGCCAAGCUUAGGCAAUGAAGGAAACCAUCAAAACAGAAAUCUGAUGAAGGUGUAAUUGAAUAAAAGGACCAUGUCCCAGGCCCAGCAAGCAGAACUUGGCAGCUUUGGUCACAUGGUUAUGGAUUUAGAGUCAAUGAUACAAGAAAGGGAUUAAAGAGUCUCCUUCUAAGGGGUGUCCCUGUGUGGAGACCUGGAGAGGCCAUUACAUGAAGCUGCAAAUGUGGUCUGGAUUGCUUUGGAGACCCCAAGAUGUUGGAGAUGCUGAAGUUAUGGAAUAACCACCAAGGAAAGCAGUUAACCAGUCCAUGAAAAGGAAGGUGUGUUUCAGUCAACAAAACUGAAAGGAGUUGGAUAUAUGAAGAGCAUUUGGACAUCAAACACAGAAAUGAAGAGUUUGGAGUUUGCCCAGUUGAUUUUCAGUCUUGCUUUGGUCCAAUAUUUCCUCACUACAUUAUCUUUCCUUCCUUUUGGUAUGGUAAUGUAUAUCCUGCCUCAGUAUAUGUUGGAUGUAAAUUAUUUUCUUUUUGUAUUUUGAUUUUAUGGGGGAAUUACUCUUAAAGUAUUACCAUGAGUCUCAGAAGAAACUGGACUUUUAAGCAGAGUUGAGACUGUUAUAGACUAUGGGGACUUUUGAAUUUGGACUGAAUGCAUCUCUUCAUUAUCAUAUGGCUAUAAGCCUAUGGGGGACAUGGAGUAAAACAUGAUGCUUUAAGUAAAAAUGGUCCCUAUAGGUUCCUAGGGAAUGCCACUAUUAGGAGUUGUGACUUUAUUGGAGUAGGUGUGGUAUUAUUGGAGGAGGUGUGUCACAGAGGGUGGGCUUUGGGGUCUCAGAUGCUAAGCCAAGCUCUUCCUGAUGUUUGUGGAUUUGGAUACAGAACUCACAUCUACCUCUCCAGCACCAUGUUUGCCUGCAUGCUACCAUACUUCCCACCAUGAAACCUCUGAACUGUAAGCCAACCCCAGUUAAACGCUUUCCUUUAUAUGAGUUGCCGUGGUCAUGCUACCUCUUCAUAGAAAUAGAAACCCUAAGUAAGACACCAUGGGAAUCCUUUGGCCAACUCAACUAAAUGUAACCCAUUCCUGGUAUUGGAAAUUUCAUUUGGUGACAAGAGAUGUCCCGCUGGAGCUCUGCCUCCCUCUUAAUUUAGCCAUUUCAUUUGGAUUGCCUUCAUAUAUGUGUAUAUGUUAUGAAUCUUCUACUGUAUUGUUUCUUUCAGUCCUUCAAAUAGCCCUUAAUUUUAGCUGUCUUUCCCCACUCUUCCCUUAUCCCUCACACUUCGUCCCCCUUCUCCACUGGAUCCUCCAGCUCCAUUCCCCCCACUGCUGUUUGAUCUUCCAAUUCCAGAUAAGUGAAUACAUACCAUAUUUGAUACCACAUUUAUCUUUCUGGGUCUGGGUCACCUCACCAAGAUUAUUUUUUUCCUGUUUCAUCUAUGAUCUCAUUUUUCUUUACAAUGCAUAGUAUUCCACAGUGAAUAUGUGCCACAUUUUCAUUAUCCAUUUAUCAACUGAAGUAUAUUUGGGUUAUAUCCAUUUCCUACCUAAAUAGGCUGAGCAAGUCUCUAUGAAGUACAUCUGGCCUAGAGUUUGGAAUGUAGAUCUGACUGGCCUCAAACUCAAAGAAACCUGCUUGGCUCUGCCUCCUAAGUGCUUAGAUUAAAGGUGUAAGCCCCAUGUCUGGCCAUCUUUUCACUGGUUUAUGGUAUGCAAUACUUUCGAGUAUGGUUUUACUCUGCAUUAAAAAUAUUUUAUAUAAGUAUAUAGAUUUAAAAAUAAUCUAGUGCCAUUCAGACAAAAGCACUUAAUUGUCUUUAUAUAAAAAUUGCAUUUAUAAACCGUGCCAUUGGGCGUGACUACAACAUAUUUUUGCUGAAUAAAUGAAUGAUGCUUUAGUGGGUGUUUGCUAAAGGUUCUGAGAAUAAUAACCCAUAUUCCUUUCUAGGUUUGAUUUCUAAUGGGAGCUAGCUUUGGUUUUUAUUUUGCUUUGUUUUUCUACCCAAGUUUGCUUUGAAUCACCGAAAUGAUUCAUAACACUAAAAACAAGUUGAACCUGAAAUUACCCUGCCGGAAAUGAGUUAAGGAUUAGAGAUCAAGUGAAAGGGAGGGGCUUGAGAGAAAUCAAGAGAACUCUUCUACAUUUGUGGUGAGACAGGAGGAAAUGCCAACAGCAGUUUUUGUUCUCAUUACUCCAAUUACAUUGUUUUAAAUAGUUGAAUCAAAUGCAAAGUACAGAGUAAUUCAGUCUCCAGGAUCCAAAAGGCACUUUUCCCAGGUGUGGCUGGCCUCUCCACUCCACCCCCAGAUGAGUCACUAUACAGAUGAGUCACUAUACAGAGAUUAGAGAGAGAGACCGACCCAUCCUUGACCCCUCCCACACCCAUACACAAAAUCAUUGUAACAGGUGGGGAGAGGUGAAUGGAUGGAUCACCACUGGAGGGGAAGGGACUUUCUCUCAGCCAGCCCUGCUGGAAUCCUUUAACUGGAAAGAGAAAGGGGAACAAGAAUCAGGGAACCUUGGCAAAGGGCUCUGAGUCAGGUAAGGAGGUGAUUUGAAAACAUCCUUAAAGAAAAGCAUGGUCACAGGACCCUGCUAUCAGGGUCUUCUCUGCAAUCCAAGUUUCUGGUGACAUCUGUCACUUCCCUAAGAAGCCCAUGACCUUUUCCUUCCUGUUUCUCUAUGAAUGAUGGCACAUCCGGAAGCUCAUAAAAGUGGCUUAUCUAGGAAAGCAAACAGCUCACUCUGAAAAAAAGAUAAUAGUUCAACAGGAGGGGAGUAGUUCCAGCUUUUGCUGUUAGCUAAAGGAGGGUUCUGGUCCCUGCCCUAUGGUGUGGGUAAGAUGUCCCACCCAUGACCUCAUGUUUUAGAGAGUGAACUCUUCCUACCCUAUGCCACACACUAAGUACUCUUCCUUCUGAAUCUCACUCCAGGUACCCAAGAUUCUUCCUCUCAAAUGACCAUGAACUCUCUUCUGGUUCAGUAUUACAUUUUUAUCUAUCUUCUCUGUGUGCUGCUGGAGUACCUGCUGUAUCUGGUAAGGUAGAGAGGUAACUGCCUGCAGCUAUUGCAGGUGGAUAAAAAUUUACUUGCAAGGCUAGGGUGUCCCUAUAGGUUCCAUAUGCCAUGGGUUCCAUAUGCCUGAAUACAGGAGCCCUUGGGUAGAAGCUGAGUGGCCCCCAGAUGACCACAAAUCCAUGUGCAGCAUUAAAUAAUCCCAAUGUGAAAUCAGACUUUGCCCUUCAGGUGCUGAGAAGGUAUUCUUGUCAGUAGAAGAAGAUAAACUAGGCAUGGGGAUUUGGUAGAGUGCUUGCCUAGUACUCACAAAACUCUGGAUUCCAUCCCCCACACCCCAUAAACUGGGCAAUGUGGAUCAUGCCUAUUCUCCCAACCCUCAGGAAGCUGGCACAAGAGAAUCAGGAGUUCAAGGUUAUCCUUGACUACACAGGAAGUUUGAGCACAGCCUAAGCUGUACGAGACCUGACCUCACCACAGAAAAAGCAGAAUAGGAUGUCUUAGUCAUUGUUCUAUUGCUGUAAGGAGACAACCUUGAUCAAGGCAACUUAUAAAAGCAAGCAUUUAACAGGGGGGCUGACUUACAGUUUCAGAGGGUUAGUUCACUAUCAUCCUGGUAGGGAGCAUGGUGACAACAUGGCACUGGAGCAGUACCUGAAAUCUACAUCUUGAGAGACUGGGACUGCCCACAUUUGAAACUUCAAAGUCCACCCCCAAUGACUCAACUUCUAAUUCUUCUAAUUCUCUCAAGUAGUGAUACUCCCUGGUGAUUAACCAUUCAAACAUAUGAGCCUAUGCGGCCAUUCUUAUAAAAACUACCACAGAGCAGGAGGAGGAAGUAGGGAGGGCCUUGCCAGAGGAAGAGGAGGAGAAGGGAAGAGGGAAAGGAAUAGGGGAGAAAGGCUAUUUUAUUUAACGAUUUGUUAAGUUGGUUUACAGCCUUCAGUCCUAUCAUGUGAGCCUGCUUGUACUUUUGCUUGCUCACUGAAGACAGCAGAAAUGGGUGGACCCACUGCAUGUUUCCAUACAACGAUGCCUAUUUAUGGCUUUCCUAGUAAUUCAAAUUUGGUCGAUACUGGUGGGUUGCCUCUUAUGCCACAUACCAAUUUCUCAGUCUGUCAAAGAGAUUAUUAUGCUUUGCCUACCAACGAAAUAUCUAACUUGGUGUCAAUAAUUCAUGACAAAAGCAGAAAAGGGCUAUAGUUUUUCAUAGAAAAGAAAAUGGAAGUGUCAGGUUAGAUUAUAGCAUUGAAAGUCUCUAGCCUUCUCAUCUGGCUUAAAUUUCUAGCUACUCUUCCCAAGUGUCUUUAACAAAGGACUCUGUGAGGUUCAAUAUUUAGCAAAUUAAUGAGUUUCCUGUAUUUUUGGUUUAUUUUAGAGAAAGCAUUAUCAAAAUAUUUAAACAACUUUAACUCUAUAAAUAUUCUAAUGGAGCUCAAAUUUUACACGAGUCAUUACCAUAGCAACACCUAGGGAUGCUAAGGUAUCAUGCCUGUGGCUCUACAAAUCCUCAGGGAACCAAAUUGACACCAAAGCCUUGUUAAAUGCACCCUGGUGUGGUAUAGAAACCUGUCACACAGUCUGAUAUCAACCCUGUUGAAGGGGUUUUGGUGCCAGGGAACCUCAUUAUCAAAGCCCUAUCUCUGGAGCUGACAAUGAUCACAGAGCAACAACGUGGUGUUAUAUUGUUUAUGAUUUAAUGAAGCUUGUCUGGGGAUCAGAAUGCCACAGCCAUAGAAGGUGGGUAGUGGUGGCACACACCUUUAAUCCCAGGACUCAGGAGACAAAGGCAAAAGAUCUUUGUAAGUUCAAGGCCACCCUGGGCUACAUGAGAGUGAAUCAGUCUAAAAGAGAAACAGAGUUCAUGCCCUUAAUCCCAGCACUAGAGAGAAUAUAAGGAGCUCAGCGAGUCUGAGAUCUGAUGAAGAACAAUGCAGUCUGGAGAUGCAAUCCAGGGUUUGAUGGAUGGCCCCUUCAGUACCAGUGUUGGUAGAGGUAUCAACACACUUGCACCCCUGGCGAUUGUACUCCCCACCCUGACCCUUACCUGCAGUCACUGAUUCUACCAGCACGGACUCUCCUUGUCCUUUGCAGCACUGGCUCCUUGAGAAAAGAUGGCUAUCUGGACAGUGGACUCCAUGUUGUCAUUGGAAUUAAGGCAUCACUUUAUGUUUCUGUUCUGCACAGUUCCACUCAUUUCCUCUGAUUGGCAAGACUGGGGGAUUAUUAUUGCCACUUCAAGAGGCACUGAAGUGUACGUGUCACAUUUGUGCAGGAAUGGUUCCUUGUGAGGCUUCUGCCUGUUCUUGAUGGGUUUCACCACCUUUGGAAAACAAGUAGAGACCAUAAAUGGUUUUUUGGGGGCGGGGGAGGUAGUUGGUUCUUUGGGACAGGGUUUCUCUAUGUAGCCCUGGAACUCACUAUGUAGACCAGGCUAGCCUCAAACUCAGAGAUCUGCCUGGGAUUAAAGGUGUGUACCACUACUGCCUGGUAAUGUUUUUUAAUAGAAUAUCCUUAUUAAUUCCUUGAGAAUUUUAUACAUGCACACAAUAUAUUUUUAUUGUAUGCAACUCCCAUUCUUCCCUCUAACCCCUCCCAGAUACCCUGAGUUUCCCAGGCCCUUUCCUCUCAACUUCACAUCCUUU